rnacentral:rRNA from 1 species
UACGUAGGGGGCGAGCGUUGUCCGGAUUUAUUGGGCGUAAAGAGCUCGUAGGCGGUUCGGUAAGUCGGGUGUGAAAACUCUGGGCUCAACCCAGAGAGGCCACCCGAUACUGCUGUGACUAGAGUGCGGUAGGGGAGCGGGGAAUUCCUGGUGUAGCGGUGAAAUGCGCAGAUAUCAGGAGGAACACCAGCGGCGAAGGCGCCGCUCUGGGCCGUAACUGACGCUGAGGAGCGAAAGCAUGGGUAGCAAACAGG